UACAGAGGUCUCAAGCGUUGUUCGGAUUCAUUGGCGUAAGGGCGCGUAGGCGGCGUGACAAGUCACUUGUGAAAUCUCCGGGCUUAACCCGGAAAGGUCAAGUGAAACUGUCGUGCUAGAGUACAGAAGGGGCAACUGGAAUUCUCGGUGUAGCGGUGAAUGCGUAGAUAUCGAGAGGAACACCUGCGGCGAAGGCGGGUUGCUGGGCUGAUACUGACGCUGAUGCGCGAAAGCCAGGGGAGCGAACGGG
rnacentral:rRNA from 1 species